rnacentral:rRNA from 1 species
CAUCGCUCUUUGUAAUUUAUUUUAAUAAAGAGUACUGCCUGCCCAGUGAUUAUUAAUUAUAAUAUAAUUAAACGGCCGCGGUAUCUUGACCGUGCAAAGGUAGCAUAAUAAUUUGCUCUUUAAUUGGGGGCUAGAAUGAAAGGCAAGACGAAGGUUUAACUGUCUCCUUUUUAAAUAAUGAAAUUAUUAUUUUAGUGAAGAAACUAAAAUAAUGACGCUAGACGAGAAGACCCUGUCGAGCUUAAAAAAGUUUUUAUAUAAUUUAUUUUUACCUAAAGCUAAUUUUUAAUUAUACUUUUUUAAAAUUAAUAUAAAAAUAUUUUUGGUUGGGGCAACCUCGAAGAAAAAUUAACCUUCGAUAAAACACAAGAAAUUAACAAAUUUAAAAAUUUAUUAAAAUUUUAAAUGAUCCGGAAAAUUAUCCGAACAAAGAAAAAAGUUACCGCAGGGAUAACAGCGUAAUUUCUUUUAAGAGUUCAUAUUGACAAAGAAGUUUGCGACCUCGAUGUUGGACCAAGGCACCCAGAAGAUGCAGAAGUCUUCAAAGGUAGGUCUGUUCGACCUUUAAAGCCUUACGUGA